rnacentral:rRNA from 1 species
UGACGGAGCAACGCCGCGUGAGUGAAGAAGGUUUUCGGAUCGUAAAACUCUGUUGUGAGGGAAGAACAAGUACCAAUUAACUACUGGUACCUUGACGGUACCUCACCAGAAAGCCACGGCUAACUACGUGCCAGCAGCCGCGGUAAUACGUAGGUGGCAAGCGUUGUCCGGAAUUAUUGGGCGUAAAGCGCGCGCAGGCGGUCCUUUAAGUCUGAUGUGAAAGCCCACGG